ACCCUAGAGGAGACAGCUGCACUACACUUUUCCUUACUACUUAGCCUUAAUUUCCUUGGUUGACUUUCAUCUUCCAAUAAUCACUUAUUCGGAAUAGCUUUGUUGUGAUAUGAAUUACAGUUUCCAAUUUAAAUGAUUUGUUCAGAUAUGAGAUAAACUUCUUCAUUAGAAUGAUACACGAUUGAGAUUGGAUAUGCACUCUAUAUCUUCAAUGUGGAACCCACUUACAUUUUCAUCUCAUGUUAGUAAACGCAUGAUACACACAACUUGCCUUGUCAUUCUUUGGUAAGUAAACAUGUCAUUACUGUUGUGAUGAUGUCUUUGAUGUAUUGUGACAAAUGAACAAAAAAUUUAUCCUUUGAGGGCUUCAC
rnacentral:lncRNA from 1 species